UAACAACUCUCNGCAACGGAUAUCUUGGCUC
rnacentral:rRNA from 1 species